rnacentral:rRNA from 1 species
AAACUGAAGAGUUUGAUCAUGGCUCAGAUUGAACGCUGGCGGCAGGCUUAACACAUGCAAGUCGAGCGGUAACAGGGGUAGCUUGCUACCCGCUGACGAGCGGCGGACGGGUGAGUAAUGCAUAGGAAACUGCCCAGUAGUGGGGGAUAGCCCGGGGAAACCCGGAUUAAUACCGCGUACGCCCUUCGGGGGAAAGCAGGGGAUCUUCGGACCUUGCGCUAUUGGAUGUGCCUAUGUCGGAUUAGCUAGUUGGUGGGGUAAAGGCCUACCAAGGCGAC